CUUAAAAGGAAAUCACAAGCCUUGUGAAAAAAUUAGAACUAUUUCUUCCUUCCCUUAUAUGGUCUACUGGUGUCACUUAACAAACUCUUCAGUCUGUGACCUUGAGAAACCUAGAGGCUAAAUAGGUGGAAUAGAAUAUUGAAGGUCAUCCCCUCGCCCACCACCCAAAAAGAAGAGCAUAUAUUCAACCUAACAGGAAAUUAUCUGGGCAGAGUGGACUGCAGGAACCCAGGCCCUACAGUGGAAAAGAAAGGGAUGUACUAGAGGGACAAGAGAAGGCUGGUGGUGCCCACUGAAGAAACUGAUGGUAAGUCAUUUGCCUCUAAGAGAGUCUGUGGUUCUUGGGAUACAACACAAAUUAAGUCAGUAGCGCAUGCAUAUUGCGUGAAAUUCAAAAGCAUCAAAGGACAGUGAAAAGUGCAUUUUUCUUC
rnacentral:lncRNA from 1 species